UACGUAGGGAGCAAGCGUUGUCCGGAAUCAUUGGGCGUAAAGCGCGCGUAGGCGGCCCGAUAAGUCCGUUGUGAAAGUCAAAGGCUCAACCUUUGAAUGCCGAUGGAUACUGUCGGGCUAGAGUCCGGAAGAGGCGAGUGGAAUUCCUGGUGUAGCGGUGGAAUGCGCAGAUAUCAGGAGGAACACCAAUAGCGAAGGCAGCUCGCUGGGACGGUACUGACGCUAAGGCGCGAAAGCGUGGGGAGCAAACGGG
rnacentral:rRNA from 1 species